ACAAACUAGAUGAUGCAAUACUUAUUGAGCUGAUUUAGUGAAACAUGCGUCAGGGGCAUUGCUGAGUCCACAAUACUGCUUGUGGUUUUCUUUUUAUUUCUGAUUUUUUGACAUUUUUCUUUUUAUUGCCAUUAUACUUAUUUUAGGAGCGAGUGGUUUUGAUUCCAAAUUAGGGUCAUUUUAGGGCUAAGGGGUGCCCUCGAAGGCACUAUAGGGACAGCUAUUUGGUUAUCCUCCCUUCCUUUAUUCCCCUUUACCCACCCUGCCCCAUACUUGGUAGUAUUGUAGGAAUUCUCCUUAAGUGUCAGAACGUAGCUGACAGUUAUUACUAUCUUGGUUACAUUUUGGAUACAACCUCAGAGCUACUGUUAUACAUAGUUGCUAAUCAAGAUAGUACUUUAUUGGAAACCACUCAGUCAGUAUUUACUAUUUAUUAAUUGCCAGUGGAUAUCCUGUUAUUACACAGUCUUAUUUAUAUAGGAUCCAUUGCAUUAUAUUUAAUCCCUCUCUAGGGAAGGUUAUAAUUUCUCAGCAGUUUGGACCAGCUCCUUUUCUCAUUUUAAAUCUAUGUUUAAUGAACAUGCACUUAGUACUAUUAGUUCUGUAC